GGCCGCCCCGAGCCUGCCCCGGCGCCUUCUCUCCGGUUCGCCCCGAUUCUGCUUUCCCCCCCAGUCUGCUUCGGAUUGCUGUCUCCCGCACCCCACGUUCUCAGCCAGAGGGACCAGGGUGGUGUGGACUGGGGGUGGAGCCGUUCCUUGUACCCACUGUCCCACCUGCCCCCUCUAACCCUCCCCCAGCAAGCGCCGAGAGAUGAGAACUAACGGCUAGAGACCCAGAAAGGUGAGGUUGCCCCAGGCGCGGGGUCCUCAAAACCAGUAAUCCUCAUGUUGGUGCCGGGAGAGGCUCGAAGGUAGGGAAACUGAGGCUUAGAAAAGGACGUUGGCCAAGGUCACCAGGCAGGGCCAAGCACAGAUCUGCAGGAGACUCCACCGGCCUGUGGCUGACACCAGCAGUUGACUGGAUCCCACACGGGGCUCUAGUCCUGGAUCCUUUCUGAGCCCUUGCCACUCGGCUUGCAGAGCAGAAGCCAAGGUCUAUCUCAUGUCCCCAGGGGCAGUGAGGAGGAGACCGACGACCCAGAGCCUGUUGGUCACAUGGCUGCAGCCCUCCAGCGAGAGAAGUCCGGACGCUGACCCCUUCCUCCCAAGAGCAGCAGAGUUCCUGCCCUGCCUAAGACAGGGCCCUUCCUUCUGGGCACUGGAGGCCUCUCUUUUCAAGAUAACAGCUCGCUGGCUGGACCUGCACUCUGCCGCCCGCUGCCGCUUGCCACCCACGUUCAGCACCAGGGAGAGCGCCCAGCAGGGCUCUGGCAGGCCCUGAGCUGAGAGGAAAUGGUGUAGGACCCAGGAGAGCCUGCCAAGACAACCUGAACCAGUGACCAGAGGAAGCCAAACUUGAAGGAAGGGCGUACCGAGACCAUCCUCCUCUUCAGUGCCCCUGCUGCUGGGAGCAGGGCAGGCCUGGGACUGUCCCUCCAGAAUCUGAUGCUCCCUGGACAGUGCAGGUCGUCCUGGGCCUGUCCCCUGCUGCUGAGUCCCCAAGAGGAUUGCUGUCCACAUCUGGGUAACUCAGAGAAAGGACUCCUGUCCUGUGGGGGAUAGAGUGGUUUUCCUCUGAGGCUAAGUGCAGGAUGAACCCAGGCAUGGGAGGUAAUGGGGCUCAAAACAGCUGUGAGCAGUCACAUGGGCCCUGAGCCUCUUCCCUCCCAUCAUAUAAAUGAGCAGAGCACACAGGACCCUUCGGGGCCUCCCAUGAUGCCUCAGAGGACCGAAGCAGGUGCUGCUGCAGCCUUUGGGCUGCGGUGUACACAGUGUCCAGGCCUCUCCUGGGACUGCCACAAGGAUUAAAGCUUGAUGAAGAUUGCAAAGGCUGCUGGACGCAGCGGUGCGUGCCUGUAACCCGAGUAUUGAGAUCAAUCCAUGUGAGUCUAUUUAAUAGGUAAUAGGCAUUUAUUAAGACAUAAAUUGAGGAAAUACACUCACGAAUACAGAACGGAGUAGACAGCUCCCAUACAAUGGCGGGAAGCACCACCUCCCAUAUAGCCCAAGAUCAUGGGCAGAGCAAAUACCACUACACUUUAGCACUAGGGAGGCAGAGGCAGGCAGAUCUCUGCAUGUUCGAGGCCAGCCUGGUCUACAUAGUGAGUUCCAGGACAGCAGGGCUGCCUAGUGAGACCUUGUCUUAGUGCAGAGGCUGGCCAGCAAGGUAACUCAGUGGGCAAAAAACGCUUGCCAUGCAUGCUUAAUGACAGGAGUUUGAUUCCUAGAACCCACAUAAAAAUAGAACCAACUCCACAAAGCAUACUGUGGUAUGUAUGGGCAGCCCCCUCAGCCACACACACACUAAUGAUAAUAAUAGUAAUAAUUAAUAAUGACAAAUUAAAAUAUUAUAAUACAGAGUCUAGGUAUGUGUGGUGCACACCUAUAAUCUGAACACUUGGGAGGGCAUUUGAGUCUGAGGCAGUCUAGGCUACAUACUGAGUUUUGGGCCAGCUGGGGCUACAUGGGGACACCCUGUCUCAAACAAGCAAGCAAGCAAACCGUAUUAUGCUGAAUGAAUGAUAUGAAUCUGUAAUCCCAGCGCUGUGGAGGCAAAGACAAGAGAUCAGGAGUCUGAGGUCAUCCUUUCCACUGCAAGUUUGAGGCCAGCCUGGGAUAUAUGAGAUACUCCCUAAAAAUAAAAAUUUUAAAAAUGCCAAGGGCAACAUAGGCUACUAUUGUCAUUAAUUACUCUUACAUUUCUCAGGCCUGACCAGAGCAGGUGUUCAGGAGACAACGGUCUUGAUCGCAUGAACACAGGGUCUGUGCUAGGACGGGGAGGAGGCUCGGGUGGUGUCUGGACGGGCUGUGAGGAGCUGGGGGAGCCUGGGGAGGGACUUUGCUGUCCGGCUAGUGGAGCAGGGAGACUCUAAUGAAGUGAGUUAGCUCCGGGCCACACUGAUUUCACGUCUCGAUGGCCACUUCUCAGCUGGUAAAUGUCACUGGAGAGCAGCAGACAGUCCUGGCAAUGGCCCAGCUGCAGAUGGGGGUGGGCUGGCUGCCAGAGGGGCUGAGGAUGCCCUGGGAAUGCUGAUGCAGGACCAGGGUCCCCAUCCCUGUGGCUUCCAGGACGGCUGCACCCUCCAGGCUGUAGUUCUGUCACCAACUGGGGGACGCUUGUAACUGCCGGUCCUGAUUCUGACCCUCCACCACGCGAUCUCCAGGCUGCUUCUUGGCUGGCCGGAUUUACCCCUUUCUUUGCCUUGCAGAGGUUCCAAAAGGGGGGCCCAGCUGCCCUGGGCUUCUGAGUGGGAAGUAGAACCAUGCAGAGCUCUCUGGGCCCAUGCUCCGUCUUCAGCUGUCACCCUCGAUGACUGAUCCAGGACACGCACACAGUACACACAGCUAUAACCACACAGCAGCCAGCUUCACUUAAUGCACUCUCUCGCUGCAGCAGGCCUUGGCUCAGAACCAAGGCUCCCUGAUCUAAUGUGGCCCCAGGAAGAGCCUGUAGUGGGCUCAGAAGUGACUCCUGUUGGA